rnacentral:pre_miRNA from 1 species
UAAAUACUCCCUCCGUCCGAAAAUACUUGUCAUUGAAAUGGAUGUAUCUAGAUGUAUUUUAAUUCUAGAUACAUCUAUUUUCAUCUAUUUUGAUGACAAGUAAUUCCGGACGGAGGGAGUAUUUA